AGGAGCUCGCUCAGCCAGCGUAACGGUUCCUGUGAGAGAUAAGCAGAACUCUGAGGAUGUGAAAUGGAGCUGCAGCUGAUCAGGUGACCAGCCAGUUGUGUCGUGUGGAGUUUUUUCCACCUCCUAACUUUCCUGAUCCUCUAUAUGAGCUCUGAUUGGCUCAUCAUUACCUGCUGAACAGAUGGUGCUGCUGAUCAGGUUUAACUGAGGCAGAUCUGAAAGCUGAUGAAGAUGCGCUUGUGUGGACAUGGAACAACACACACCUGACCGUGGACGAGCGA